UGAAACUGAAAACUAGAAGAAUACACAUUUUAAAUUUUACUUUAAGACAGCCAUUUCUAACUCUACAAUUUCUUUCAUUGCCAUUGGAAGAGCUAGAACAAUGGUUCUCUAUCUUCAAUGUGCAUCAGAAUCCACUAAAGAACUUAUUAAAAUAUAGAUUGCAAGCCCUAACACCCAGAGUUUCUGACUUAAUCUGUCAGGCUGGGACUCAAGAAUUUGCAUUUACAUGUCUAAUAAGGUAAUUUCUAACUGCGUGAUUUACAUUCUAACAAGGUGAUUUACAUUUCUAACAAGGUGAUGUUGAUGCAGCUAGUUUGGAGACCUUGCUUUGAGAAUCACUGAGAUGAACUGUCUACCCUACAUAUAAAUCAACCUAAAUUUUGUAUAGAAAAAUUCAUGGAAUGUAUGGGAUUCUUGUUUCCAGACCAGGUUACAUCACAAUUUUUAAAAUUUCACUGUGGAAAAAGUUACAAACGAAUGUAAACUUACCAGAAGUAAGAAAGAUAUAAUAUUUCCAAACCAGACACAGAGGAAAAUACAUCUAUUUCCUAUCAUUAAAUACUUACAAGAAGUAAAAGAUAAAAAGAAAGAGCCAAUGGAUGUAGGAAGCUUUGGGACCUCUCCUCUCCAGCUAUCUGAGAGAUACUGCUUCCCGCAAACAGUUUGCCUCUGUGAUCCUUAUUUACCUCUACCUUUUCCAUGAGAUUGAGAACACUAUAAGAAAGCCUACAAAUGCUAUGGUUGCACAUACAGAAAAAUCCAAGACCUCAGAGACUUCUUCCCAUCACUCUUUGAUGUAACUGAUUUCUCCCCAUCAGUAUCCUGAUCAUCUGGUUCCUUCAUUUCCUCUGAUCCAGGAUGACCCACCAGUAGGAGGGUGCAACUACCACCAGAGACCUCUGACCUCUGCAAGACAGCUAAUUAUAAUCACAGAUUCUCUUUCUCUAGGUAAAUUGUCAUUGUGGUGCACUUUGGUUUUCCAGAGGUCCACUACCAAAGUUCAUCUUUUCCCCAGAUGCUUCACCAUUAAAAUUAACUUUCUG
rnacentral:lncRNA from 1 species